rnacentral:rRNA from 1 species
UACGAAGGGGGCUAGCGUUGUUCGGAAUCACUGGGCGUAAAGGGCGCGUAGGCGGCCUAGCAAGUCGGGGUGAAAGCCUGUGGCUCAACCACAGAAUGGCCUCGAUACUGUUGGGCUCGAGACCGGAAGAGGUUGGUGGAACUGCGAGUGUAGAGGUGAAAUUCGUAGAUAUUCGCAAGAACACCAGUGGCGAAGGCGGCCAACUGGUCCGGUUCUGACGCUGAGGCGCGAAAGCGUGGGAGCGAACGGG